CCCUGGGGAAGGAACCGCAGCUGCAGGAAGGGUUCUGUGCAGCCUGAGCUUGAGGGAGAUGUGGCACAGCUGGCUCAUUCUUUAAUCACCA